rnacentral:rRNA from 1 species
GAACGCAGUAGCAAUGCUGAGUGGCAAACGGGUGAGUAUACUGCCUUUUGGUCUGGAAUAACACGGGGAAACUUGUGCUAAUACCGGAUAAGCCUUUACGGGGAAAGUUUUAAUGCCGAAAGAUGAGCCUGCACUUGAUUAGCUAGUUGGUAAGGUAAAAGCUUACCAAGGCAACGAUCAAUAGCUGUUCUUAGAGGAAGACCAGCCACAUUGGGACUGAGACACGGNCCAGACUCCUACGGGAGGCAGCAGUGGGGAAUCUUGCACAAUGGGGGAAACCCUGAUGCAGCGAUGCCGCGUGAGUGAAGAAGGCCCUUGGGUUGUAAAACUCUUUCGUCGGNGAAGAAAAUGACUGUNCCCGAAUAAGAAGGUCCGGCUAA